rnacentral:rRNA from 1 species
UCUACGGGUGGCAGCAGUGGGGAAUAUUGCACAAUGGGCGAAAGCCUGAUGCAGCAACGCCGCGUGAAGGAAGACGGUUUUCGGAUUGUAAACUUCUGUUCUUAGUGAAGAAUAAUGACUGUACCUAAGGAGGAAGCCCCGGCUAACUAUGUGCCAGCAGCCGCGGUAAUACAUAGGGGGCAAGCGUUAUCCGGAAUUAUUGGGUGUAAAGGGUGCGUAGACGGAAGAACAAGUUGGUUGUGAAAUCCCUCGGCUCAACUGAGGAACUGCAACCAAAACUAUUCUCCUUGAGUGUCGGAGAGGAAAGUGGAAUUCCUAGUGUAGCGGUGAAAUGCGUAGAUAUUAGGAGGAACACCAGUGGCGAAGGCGACUUUCUGGACGAUAACUGACGUUGAGGCACGAAAGUGUGGGGAGCAAACAGGAUUAGAUACCCUGGUAGUC